rnacentral:rRNA from 1 species
CGCGGCCUAUCAGCUUGUUGGUGGGGUCAUGGCCUACCAAGGCGACGACGGGUAGCUGGUCUGAGAGGAUGAUCAGCCACAUUGGGACUGAGAUACGGCCCAGACUCCUACGGGAGGCAGCAGUGGGGAAUAUUGCGCAAUGGCCGCAAGGCUGACGCAGCGACGCCGCGUGUGGGAUGAAGGCUCUCGGGUUGUAAACCACUGUCAGGAGGGACGAAUACUCGGCUCCAAAUAAGAGACCGAGGGCGACGGUACCUCCAAAGGAAGCGCCGGCUAACUCAGUGCCAGCAGCCGCGGUAAUACUGAGGGCGCGAGCGUUGUCCGGAAUCACUGGGCGUAAAGCGCACGUAGGCGGCUAGGUCAGUCACCUGUGAAAUCCCGGAGCUCAACUCCGGGCCUGCAGGUGAUACUGCUUAGCUGGAGCACGGUAGAGGCAAGUGGAAUUCCCGGUGUAGCGGUGGAAUGCGUAGAUCUCGGGAAGAACACCAGUGGCGAAGGCGGCUUGCUGGGCCGUUGCUGACGCUGAGGUGCGAAAGCGUGGGUAGCAAACAGGAUUAGAUACCCUGGUAGUCCACGCCGUAAACGAUGGGUACUAGGCGUCGGGGGGAGCGACCCCUUCGGUGCCGCCGCUAACUCAAUAAGUACCCCGCCUGGGGAGUACGG